UAAGAAGAUGACUUUAAUCAGUGAUUCAAAACUGAAAGACCAAGAGUUCAGAGAACAGGUUCACUAUUUAGAGUGACUGUUUGAAGAAAUAUGAAAAUAAUGUAGAUGCAACAACUGUGGGGACACCUUACAAAGGUGGCAAUUUCUACCACACCGAUGUCUCAGUCUUUGGAGAACCCACCAGGUUUGAGUAUUUGCAAAAAGUGCUUUUUGAGUAUAUGAUAGAUCGUGAGACUAAGACCAUAGCAAAGGUUAUAACCACUAUACUGAAGUUCCCUGAUGAUCAGACUCAGAAAAUUUUGUAAAAAGAAGAUGCUCAGCUAAUGUUUACUUCACCUCGUAGUGGUAUCUUCUAA
rnacentral:lncRNA from 1 species